ensembl:lncRNA
GUUUCUCUCUCUGUGGUCUAACUGGACAGAUAGAUGGGGUUCUCUCUCUGUGCUCUAACUGGACAGGUAGAUGUGGUUUCUCUCUGUGUGGUCUGACUGGACAGGUAGAUGGGGUUUCUCUCUCUGUGGUCUGACUGGACAGGUAGAUGGGGUUUCUCUCUCUGUGGUCUAACUGGACAGAUGUAGUGGGGUUUCUCUCUCUGUGGUCUGACUGGACAGGUAGAUGGGGUUUCUCUCUCUGUGGUCUGACUGGACAGGUAGAUGGGGUUUCUCUCUCUGUGGUCUGACUGGACAGAUGUAAUGGGGUUUCUCUCUCUGUGGUCUGACUGGACAGAUGUAAUGGGGUUUCUCUCUCUGUGGUCUGACUGGACAGAUGUAAU